rnacentral:rRNA from 1 species
GACGAACGCUGGCGGCGUGCUUAACACAUGCAAGUAGAACGGAGUGGCGAACGGGUGAGUAACACGUGGGUGACCUGCCCUGCACUUAGGGAUAAGCCUGGGCAACUGGGUCUAAUAUCGGAGAAUGUGUGAUGGUCCCGCGGCCUAUCAGCUUGGUGGUGGGGUAAUGCCCUACAAAGGCGGCGACGGGUAGCCGGCCUGAGAGGGUGGACGGCCACCUGGGGACUGAGACACGUCCCAGACUCUUACGGUAGGCAGCAGUGGGGAAUCUUGCACAAUGGGGGGAAGCCUGAUGCAGCGACCCCGCGUGGGGGAUGCCGGAUUUCGGGGUGUAAACUCCUUUCGCCAUCGAUGCGGUAGCUGGAGAAGAAGCACCGGCUAACUACGUGCCAGCAGCCGCGGUAAUAC